AUGCAUAUGGCUUGGGGCUGUGUAAAAGAGUAUGUUUUGGGACAGCCCCUUACAAGAAAUACUCAAGAGAAGAAGGCAGUGGUGGUAGAGAAGCUGGCAUGGACAGACAUGCUUUGGGAAAUGAGCCUUCAGCAGUGUGAACCAAGGCUGCCUGAAUCAGCCUGCUGUGUUGGGAUGGGUGACCUGGCCAACUGUCCUUUGCUACUUCAUGGUUUUGCUUCCUGCUUUGAUUCUGAAAAGUGCAACCUGGACCUGAUGGAACAUUCUUCCCGAGUUAUUGGUGUGAAAGUUAUUCCCAGGAUCUGUUUUGGUUUCAAUGAGUCUGCAUUUUCUGUCAAAAAUGGCAUUUUUUUUCAAAAACCUCCAGACUGUUUCUCAUCCAAAGCAUGCUGAACUCAAUGAAAAACAUUCCUCUUUGAAAGAAUUUUAAUUACUAUUAACUAUACUAGGAAAAAAGCAUAAUCACAUUAGGAAUUUGCUCUCUUGACAGAGGUCUGUAUUGAUCUUUCUUCUUUCUGCACUAAGGAAAAGUAGGAGUGGGGCUACUGGAAAAAGGAUUUGGACUUCUGCUUCGAAGAAAUGAGCUUUCUGAACCUAUCUUCUAGCAUGUCUUCCUUUCCUUGCUGUGACAGUCAAGCAAGGACUGUCUGCUUCAAAGAACAGCACUGACUACGUAGCAGUGUUGUGGUCAGACAUGUGUUAAUACCAAGCCACUCUGAUUUUAAAAACAACAACAACAAAAGCAAAACAAAUCAUAAACCAGAAAUACAGACCUUCCUUCCUCCCUUGAAACUUUUGGCUGAUAGAACAUCGUAGAUUUUAAAUAUGUCUGGAAGAAGUUCAAGAGGCAACAGUUGCAACAUCAUCGCCUAAGUAUAUAAUUAAAAACAAAUGACAAUGAAAGACAAAUGAAAUCACCUCUAAGCCUAACUUCGUCCACAGGCGUGUGUACGCGCACACACACAUACACACACACAAUUGUGGUGAGCUAUUAGCCUGGUUGUUACUCAAGUUUUGGAGUGAUCCAAUUCUCUUGGGAAGAAGAGGAAAGAAGAACCGCCAACUUCAUGCAUCAAGUGGAACAGUAAUCCUGAACUGAGAGCAAACCUUCCAAGUCUUCAGAGGGUGACUUACUUAUCUGCUGACAUAGAACAAUAGGCACUUUGUAGUUGAUGUAUGAGAUUCCCUUUGUGUGUUGCAUUAGAAAGCAAACGGGUGUGGAGUUGUAUAAAUAUACUUUUUUUUAAUAGGGGAAACACCCGCUCCCUCUGCAGCUUUAAAAUCUAUAAUUAGCCACUAGGGAACCCAAAUGUCUCCAGCAGCCCUUCCAGAGGUGUGUGAUUAUUAUGUUACUAGGACCAAAGGAUGCUGUUGGCAAAAGCUGCGGGAGCCAUGGCCCUAGGAUUAUCUGUCGGUCUCCAGGACAGCUCUGCUGGAGCAGCCUGAAGGGUCCCAGUCAGUGCUUUCCAGUUGCUUUCAAAUUUCUUCCCUUUUUCUUUUCCUGUGUUUUCUAUUUUUUCUGGCUUUAACUGCAAGCCCUCAUCACGAGUAUCUUAUCUACAAGACUUCUUUAAAACACCUUUUACCACUUUGCUGUGGGGAGGAUAACAGAAACAUGGGUUGUAUCUCAGCAGGGGAAAACCUCCUUAGAAAGCAAGUCUUCAUCCCAAGCUUGCCCAGCUUUGUCCUUGAAGCUGAGAUGACAAGCACGAGGGCUGGAUGAAGGUAUCUGCUGUUGGAAUUUCGUUGCCUGGAGCCCUAAGUGGCAAGAACAGAGCUCAUUUUACCUGGGAAACAUCUGAAUUACUGUGACUUUGCAGUGCCAUCAAAAAACCCUUGCAAAAGAAAACACCCUAUGUAAUAAGCAACAGUUAUCUUCAGGGGAAAAAGACUUUGUAUCCUACCACAGAACUUUUGAGUCAGCCUUUUUUUUUUUUGCUUUAAUCUUUAUUGAGGGUAAGAUUUUCUGUGGACCAAUUGCAUUACUGCAUGUGGUCAGCAAACUGGUACUGUGUUCUCCAGCAGCCCUGGGGCAGGCAAGAUGCUGCUAAAUGAACUGCCAGAGACAGAUCCCAGUACUGCCACGCUUCCAUAGAAAAACAUCCACCCUGCAGAUUUACUCUGGAGGGUGUAAUGUCAGGUUAUGGGCCUUAAAAAAUACUUCAGAGAUGUUUAUUAAUGUUAAACAUGACUAUCUCUUGAUGGAGUAAAUGCACGUACCCAGUAGACAAUGGUUCCCUGCCUGGCCAGAGACAUUGCCUGCUCUCUGGGCUGCCUUUCUCAAUGGAGAGGCCCAGGGCUCAGGAGUGCAGCUGGUUGUAUGGGUCAGGGUUGGGGCACAUUGUGUUGCCAUUGACUGUUUGGGAGAUCAAUAGAGGACUUCAGUCUCCGCCACUUCAGCACCUUUCAUUGGAACUAUCUUCACUUGCAUUUAAUGAGGAAACAAGUCAGAUGCAUCCAAGAUCAUAAACCAUUUCUAUUCUGUCUGAGGAAGCCAGGCUCUUGCAGCAUCAUUCGGAGCAAGAGAAAGCUGUGUAGAACCACAAGAAAGCAUGAUGUGGGGUUGUUUCCCCUCUCUGACCUGAAGUGAAGACGAGCUCCUGGUGUCAGUCUGGGGGAUUACUAGUGGUGAGUUGCCGAGACUUUAAACACGAUAGGAGACCAAGUUCCAGUUAUAGCAAUCAGGCCAAAUGUCAGUGAAGCUGAUUAAACCCAUUCCCUUAGGCUCAGCUCCCUACUUUGGCUGUUGUUUUGCAGAGGAGUGCUGAUUACGAUUAGUGCUGAUUACCACUUUUUUGAUAAAGGUGUUAUAAACCGCAGUUUUAUCUCGUGGUAUCAGCUCCAGCAAACGGAGAAACCACAGCUAUGGAACUUUACUCCACUUGCUGCAUUUGGUCAACCAGCUCGGUGCAAUAAAAGAGCUCACACAUAUCUCCUUUCA
rnacentral:lncRNA from 1 species